rnacentral:lncRNA from 1 species
UCCUCUCUCUCCCCCUGCGAAAUCGAACCCGCGGAGCUGCGCGAGAGCUCUCGGAAACCGAACUCCGAAUCCGACAUCAACGAGCCGGCAGUUUCCUCGCACACCCAUGUUCUCUCUGUCUCUCUCUCGACAACCUUUCUGUUGAACUCGGGCUUUCGAGUGGAGACCGACCCAACUUUGCCUAACAUCCUCGACUUCCUAUUUGACCCCGGAAACCAUGGCAUCCGUGUGAGCACUGUGCAAAGUUGUCUUCUUUCCGCUGAAUCUGGCGCAGUUUAGUGCGUGUAAAGCACCGGAUCGUCUGCCCAGGUUUGAUUCCCGAGCUUUUAGUCGAUUUUGGGCGACAAAAUCGAAUCUUGUUGAGUGCCCUUUUGGAAUUCUUGCCUUCUUUGUCUAGGGAAGGAAGGUGGUUCUGGGUUAUUUGCGUAGUUGGAUCUGUACUAGUGUCUGGUUAUAGAAAAAAACAGGGGCUUGCUUGUUUGUUAAAGUUGGCGAGACGGAGAUUUAUAGGAUGAUUGUCGGCAAUAUGAAUUCGAUGGAGUUUCGCGGUUUCGCGGGGUGUUUGUGGAUCUGAUGUUUUGCUGAAGAAUUUCGGUACAAGUGAUUUGAAGAUAUGCAAGGAAGGGCAGUAUCGUCAGAGGAAGGCAAGGAUCUUCCUGUGGCGAAUAGGACGAACCAAACGAAGGCGUUGCCUCUGAGAUUGCUUCAGUUAUUUGUGCUUUUUCUGUUAGUGUGUAUUGCAUUUUCAGGCAUUAGCAUAUACACUGUUCGGCGUUUUGGGAUUCAAAGCAUGGUGACGACUGCUAGGUCCAGUUUUCAGCCGUGCUAUGAAGAAGCCAACAGUUUAGACCGUUGGAUUCAGCCUCCGUCGGAUCUGCUUCAUAAUAUGUCCGAUAAAGAACUAUUUUGGAGAGCGACCCUUGUUCCUAAAAUCAAGAAGUAUCCAUUCAGAAGAGUUCCAAAAAUUGCUUUCAUGUUCUUGACCAAGGGUCCAUUGCCGCUGGCUCCUCUUUGGGAGAGGUUCUUCAAGGGCCAUGAGGGGCUUUAUUCGAUCUAUAUUCAUUCCCAUCCAUCAUUCCAUGCCCACUUUCAUCCUUGGUCGGUAUUUAACAGGAGACAAAUCCCAAGUCAGGUAUGAUCUCUUCUCGUCUGGUGUGUGCACCUGUAUGGAUCAUUUACUUACUUUUCCGAUAUUUCAGUUGUCUGCUCUUUGUGGUAUUUUAAAUAUAUCGAGCACCAGAACAGCUUCUUGGUCUGGGUUAUUUUGGUUUGGGUUCCUGUUUUGCUCUGGAGUAUUAGUUUUUUCAAGUGGAUGAUGGUCUUGUGGAAUUUCAGAACUCAAAUCUAUUUAACAAGGCACAAUCUCCUGUCAGCUAGGUUGAGAUUGAGGGCUGCAUUUAGGUGAUAGCAUACCACUGGUAGCUGCCAUUAUCAAAUAUGACUAGGGAAAUACAAUUUUGGGAUACAAGUCAAGUAUCGUGGCUAUCUUCCAUAUCUAACAUUGCCAUUGUUAUCAAAUAUUGCAUGUAGCGUUUGUUGUUCUCUGGAUGUGAACAUUGUCUGCUGGCUAGAAAAUACUUUAAUGCAGCCUGAGGCGCAGAUAAUGUGCGGAAUGUUUGAAUUGCAGUCGACUACUGGCCACAUAUGGAGUAGCAAUAUGGGACAUUGCAGUAGGAAUUUUGUUGGACUGAGAAUUUAAUUGUGGGGUCAAUAUCUUCAUGGUUAUGGAGUGUUCAUUUAAAAUUGCUGUUUUUAAAGUGUAAGAUAAAGGGAGAUGGUUGGAAUUGGUUUGGAUUGAUAGUUGUAGGUGGAGUCUUCUGUGCCUAGAUGGUUGAUACUCAACUCAAGGGAAUAUUUGUUACUCUGUUGAGUUCUGAGAGAUAACCAUGGCUCAUCCAUUAAUUACAUUAUGUGAAAAUAGUUGCUAACCUGUCAAUUGGGAUUAUCUGUAUGUUUCCAUAUUUGGAUUUUUCGUUUUGAUUUGAUCUUGCUGGAAAAUUUGUGCAGCAGACAGUGUAGACAGGUUUUGUUCCUCUUUUUCUCAUUCAUAUAAGUUGAUUUGCCAUUAGUGUUUUGGGAAUAUAAAGUGAGGAUGAUAAUUGCCGGUUGAACUAUGGCAGCGCCGGUUGUUCUAGGUUGGGCUUUCUUAUUUAGAGGACUUAUUCACUAUAUGAUGUUUUGGAAAAGAUAAAUACAAGGAUGUGCGUUUUGGAGUAUUUAUAUUGGAUGGUAAAUGCAAAGGAACAAAUUGUGCUGCAUUUGAUGGUUCCUUUGUGCUCUCUCUGCUUACAUGUGAACAGUUAGCAUGGGCAGCAAAUCAAAUAUUAGCAUUUUCAAUCAUGCUUUUGUGGUUACACUAAUCUUCUUGCAGGAGAGGACUGAGGACAGUUUUUUUACGCUCAUUUAUAGGUCAUACUUUUUUGCAUAGCUGUUCUAUUUAAUCUAAAUUUCUCUGUUCUAUUCAAUCUUCUCACGGUUUGCUUCUCUGUUCUUUUGUCCUUCAGGUGUCUGAGUGGGGCAGGAUGAGCAUGUGUGAUGCAGAGAAAAGACUCCUAGCCAACGCAUUGCUAGACAUAUCCAAUGAGCGGUUCAUUCUUCUUUCUGAAUCAUGCAUUCCGCUGUAUAACUUCAGCCUCAUCUAUCACUACAUUAUGAAGUCCGGAUAUAGCUUCAUGGGUGCAUUUGAUGAUCCCGGACCAUACGGGAGAGGACGCUACAAUUUGAAUAUGGCCCCCGAAGUGAACAUCUCUCAAUGGCGUAAAGGAUCACAAUGGUUCGAAAUCAACCGAAAGCUCGCGAUAAACAUUGUGGAAGAUGCUACUUAUCACCCGAAAUUUGAGACUUUCUGUAGGCCAGCGUGCUAUGUUGACGAGCACUAUUUCCCUACUAUGCUGACCAUCCAAGCAGGACAUCUCUUGGCCAAUAGAAGUAUCACGUGGGUGGACUGGUCGAGAGGUGGCGCUCAUCCCGCCACAUUUGGAAGGUCUGAUAUUACAGAAGAAUUUUUGCGGAGAAUAAGCAAGAACCAGCGUUGCACCUACAAUAAGCGAAACUCUUCAACGUGUUUUCUUUUCGCAAGAAAGUUUGCUCCGAGUGCGUUGCAUCCUCUCCUUGAAUUAGCUCCAAAGGUCCUCGGCUAUUAAGAGAUGCCAAAAAAAGAAAGCAUUUCAAAUUUGCCUUUAUACAUUCCAUGCGUUGGGUGGUGCUCGAAAUUGUUCGGGUCCCUAGUUUGCUUUCUUCGUUUGUACAUGAGGCAUAAUCAGAGGCACCGCCCGGACAAUAUAGUCUUGAUGUACAGAGAGGAGAGGCUAGCUUGUAGUUUUGACUUCAUAUUGAGAUUUGUGCUAAAAAUCGAGAAUUAUCGUUUCAAGAGUUGCUUCUUCUGCGCCAUCCUGCUUCUGCAAGAAUUGAGUCAUUUGCUCUGUUCUCUGCAGUGGGAGAGAUUUGAAAACUUGGGAUGUGAUUUUAGCGUUGUUGCCCGGUCGAUAUGGUUGUGGAAGACAGUUGUAGGGCAUUGACAACUCUCUGGCGUUCGAUUUAUUGUGCUAACCUUAGAUUGGCCGAAGUAGUUCUUACUCCACUGUGAAAUAUUACGAGGGAUACUUUGAAGUAUGCCCAAUUCAAUGUUGCCCUCUCAGAACCGUAUGAAACAAUGAAGCAGACACACCACGCUAUCAAGAAUGGGCUAAGACCAUCCCUCACAUCCUGGCAUGCCUCCAUCUCCACCCUGCACAAAAAAGCAUGAAGGGCAGAGGAAUGGGGGAGACACAGCAUGAACCGUGAAGGUGGAUGAAGCAAAUGGGCAAAUAGCUUCCUGAAUUGAGAGCACUAUGCUUGGCUCAGAGAGAGAGAGAGAGUGAGCAGAUGCCCAGAAUAAAGUCAUAUGUCAUGUGAUGUUUCAUUUGAUUUGACCCCAAUGGCAUGUGUGCCUGUUCUGGUGAGGGUGAAGAGAAAAGGCAUAUGCACAGACAUGCAAAUGAAGAUGGAUUCUUUCUGCUGAGGAACCCUCUAUCAUCGACCACAUCUUUUUGGCCUAUGCUUAUUCUGCACUCAUACAGCUGUGCCUGGUCUGCAAAUCUCACCCACCAAAGAAUGUCACACUUUCAUGAUAAUUGCAAAAAAUGGGGAGAAUAGAAUCUCAGCGAUGUGGGUUCAUGGUUGGACCACCCCAACCCCAAAAAAAGAAAUUGUGUAUCUCAGAGAGAGAGAGACAGAGACAGAGACAGAGAGACCAUAAAUAUUAAAAAAACAAAAAUGGGCAUUUUGGCAGUGCUCUCGCUCCUUCGUAGUUCCUUGUCAUCACCAUGAGUCUGGGUCAAGCAAUUGAUUUUUUCUUUUGCUUCCUUUUUGGGUCCUCAACUACACGGUUUUGGUAAAAGCUGCUUUCAGAUGCUUUCUUGCUUUUACUCUUGGUUUUGCAGUUGGAACAGGGCUUAAGGAUCAGAUGUUGCAAAAAUUGCAGUCCCGUGAUGAUUUAAACCCUCAUUCCAUGAAAGCCAGAAAAUAGGAAAAAAACGGAAAAGGAAAAAACAAAAGGCCUCAUCUCUUUCCUUGACUUGUCUAUUUUCUCAAAUUAAUCCGAUGACAUUAAGAAAGAUAUAAGCUUGCAUUUGUACAACCCUUGAUCCAAGAAAAGGUGGUGACGAGAAAGAAAACAAUCCAUAUUUGAUCACAUUCAUAAACUCAAAUCCUAAUCGUUUUAAAUCAAAUAAAUUUAAUGUUAUGAAUUGGCGAGGUGGAAAAAAUCUUACCAAAAAUAUAAUAUAUCUUUCUAUUGAUCGAGUCCAUUUAUUAAAAUUAGCUCUUUAGAAUGCGUCCACGCUAUAGCAACUCUUAAUUUUCGUUGCAUCCAACGUUUCAACGCACUAACAAUUACAUAGGUGACCGAACCUGAUCCGACCACUUCCGCGACCAGAAAAAACGACCCGCCGGAAGGUUUUGGAAACCGGGAAAUAACAGGGGUCUCCCUCCCUCCAGCACAUCGGAUCCGACCGUACACCUGUCACGUCGAUUUUUUUAUUAUUUUUCGAAAAAAAAAGAAAGAGUGGGGGCCAAAAGAAGGAAAAAGCCGGGAAAUCGAAGACGGACACGUGUCGGGCUCCUCUUGGCGUACAGAUUGGUGCACGUGGGGCCCCACGCCCCGGCCGAGGAACGAGCCAGGGCAUCUUCGCCGCACUCAUGGCAGCACGAUCGCGCGUGAUUUGCACGACACGCGAUGGCCGCUUACCUUCCGCACGCCGCCCCCCUCCCCCCCCCGGGGGGGGGAAAUCAAGCCCCACUCGCCGCGAUCCGGCGGUGUCCUCCACGCGCCGCGGCCGUCGGGGAGCGGCGCACGCGACCGGCCAUUCAUCUGGCACGGCGGCGCGUGAGGGGCUGCCGCCGCGAAACUGAAGGAGCCGGUCGCUUUCGUGGACCAGAUCCGAAGCGUCAAACGGGGCACGACGUCGCUUUUACGACCCGGACCGAGAAAAAAAAAAAAUAAAUUGCCAAUUAUUACUUUUCACCCCUCGCCCCACGCCAAAGACGACGACCCCCGUCGGUCGUUUUUACACCGUCCUCUUUCCCCACCGAGACGCGUUCUUGCGCUUCUCUUCCUCGACCCCGAAACGACGCAAGGCGACACGCGUUUUUCUUCCCCUUCCGAAAAAUCCCCGGCUGGGCCCCGCCAACAGAAAAACCACAGCUGUUGUACCAACGAAAUCGCCAGCUGUGCACCCCGGGCAGCUGCCCGUGCAGCCCGCUCUCUCUUUCUAUAUAUAUGGGCGCUCUGCACCAGCUUUGUUUUUACUCUGCCUACUCUCUUGCACUCGAAAACCCUAGCUCUCUCUCUGUCUCUCAAGCUCUCCUAACCUCUCUCAAACCUCGAGAUCGCGACAAUGGCGGCCGUGAAGUUCGCGAACGUGGCCGCGGUGGCCCUCCUCGUCGCCGCCAUGGCGGUCGCCGCGACCGCCCAGGAGGCGCCGGCGCCCAGCCCCGUCUCCCCGGCCAGCUCCGUCACCCCGUCCAUCCUCUCCGCCGGAGUGGCUGCCGUCGCGGCCCUCGUCUUCGGGUCAGCACUCAGGAUCUGAAGCGGCGCGCCGAUCUUCCGGAGCACGGGGACAGAGAUUUUUUCUAUAUAGUUUCCGGGUGUCUGCAGCACUCUAUUAUCACUAGUAGCCGUGGUAGGGAUGAUAUAUUUACGGUGGUUGUUCUGAUGUGGGUUUUCUCUCUAGGCGAUUUUUUUACUCGGUGGAUCCGGGAGUCCCUUCCUUCCUCCUUCGUUGGCGUCGCUGCUGUGUGUUCUUUUCCUGGUUUGAGAGUCUUUUGAGUCGAGUACAUACUCCUGGUGGUGCUUCUGCUUCUUAGUUAGAGAGAGUCUCGUGCACAGUCGUGAUGAUGUCAUAGAUCUAUUGCUUUAUCAUGUACCUCAGACAUAUAUAUUUCCACAUAUAUAUAUUAUUAUAAAUAACAGAUUCGUUUCAUGAAACUUCUCCUUCUUCUUCAUCCUCUUACUCAAUGUCGCGAUCUUGAUGCGUGUCGUCUGUCGAUGUGGUUAUGGCUUCGAAAAAAAAAGGGUAGAAUUCCACGGGAAAGGGACUUCCUUUCGGGAGUGGCGCUUGCGUGAGAACAGUGAAUGCUUCGUGGGUGCGUU